AAUUGACGGGGCCGCACAAGCGGUGGAGCAUUGUGGUUUAAUUCGAAGCAACGCGAAGAACCUUACCAGGUCUUGACAUCCCGAUGCUAUUUCUAGAGAUAGAAAGUUACUUCGGUACAUCGGUGACAGGUGGUGCAUGGUUGUCGUCAGCUCGUGUCGUGAGAUGUUGGGUUAAGUCCCGCAACGAGCGCAACCCCUAUUGUUAGUUGCCAUCAUUCAGUUGGGCACUCUAGCGAGACUGCCGGUAAUAAACCGGAGGAAGGUGGGGAUGACGUCAAAUCAUCAUGCCCCUUAUGACCUGGGCUACACACGUGCUACAAUGGUUGGUACAACGAGUUGCGAGUCGGUGACGGCGAGCUAAUCUCUUAAAGCCAAUCUCAGUUCGGAUUGUAGGCUGCAACUCGCCUACAUGAAGUCGGAAUCGCUAGUAAUCGCGGAUCAGCACGCCGCGGUGAAUACGUUCCCGGGCCUU
rnacentral:rRNA from 1 species